GCCCCGGCCCGCAUACAACGCUGUCUGCACCGCUCCCCUGCCUUCUUCCGGGCUCCCAGAGCACCGCUAUGGAGAUGCUCUCCCGGCAUUUGAGGAAGAAUUGAUUGUCCUCAUCCUGCAACUGUACUUGCCCAACCGAUAUUUAUUGAUGCCUGCAGUGUCCUGGGUGCCUACCAAGGGGCACAGAACUGGAUCCGACGCAGACCCUGCCUGCCUUCAGGUUGCUUGAAGAUGAACAGAGAGAUCGGACCUCUGCUAAGUCGCCGAUAGUGGAUACUGCUGCCACUUCAAACCCAACGGGACUCAAUUUGCCCUCCUUCCCGCCUUGUCAAAGUCUACUCUAGGAAUUCCAUCCCCCAUAGAACACUGCCUCUUCUAUGACCUCGUUCAGAUUAGAGACCAAAGUAUUGAAUAAUGAAAGCAAACAAAAGCAAAUGCUUGUCACCAAAUAUGUCCGAGAAAUCUAGAGGAAUUUUUAUUUUUGAUAAUCAGGCUCUAGAACUGGAAGUUUGAGAAGAGGAUCCUCUUAAAGCACAGCCCUAUACACUUUUUAAAGUACAGGAGUGGGGGUGCUCCCAGCCCUCCAAGGAGACUGACUUCUUGAUUAUGAAGGAAAAAUUCGCACAUGCGGGCAGGUCUGGGACUUUGGUUUUGUCUGAACCCAGAAGUUAGAGGUAGGAUACACCCUUAGAGGUCAUCUAGCCCAACCUCUCACCUAAAACGAACCAACUCUAUAGUGUCUAAUAGACAUGCAGAAUGCACUUAAAUAGUUCGAAGGUAAAAGAGCUCACCAUCUCGAAAGGCAGCCAACUCCACUGUGGUAAACCUUUGUUUAAAAAUUGUUAAAGCCGGCCGCGCGGUGGCUCACGCUUGUAAUCCCAGCACUUUGGGAGGCAGAGGCGGGCGGAUCAUGAGGUCAGGAGAUCGAGACCAUCCUGGCUAACAUGGUGAAACCCCAUCUCUACUUAAAAAAAUACAAAAAAUUAGCCGGGCGUGGUGGCGGGCGCCUGUAGUCCCAGCUACUCGGGAGGCUGAGGCAGGAGAAUGGCUUGAACCCAGGAGGCGGAGCUUGCAGUGAGCCGAGAUCGCGCCACCGCACUCCAGCCUUGGCGACAGAGCGAGACUCCGUCUCAAAAAAAAAAAAAAGUCUUAAAGCCAAACCACACUCCCUGAAGCCUAUAAUAGAAUAAAAUAGGAAUAGUCUUCACCUUUUUCAUGACAGCCCUUCAAAUACCAGAUUGCAGUAUUCAUUACCCACUAAGUCUUCUCUGUUCCUUGCUGAACAUCCUCAGUUUCAACCAUUCCUAUCGUGCUGUUCAAUACAACUGAUAUACAUGAUAGACAUGUUCUUUAUCUGCACUGUCAAACAUGUAGCCGCUAGUCCUAUGAGGAAUAAGCACUUGAAUUGUUGCUAGUGUAACUGAGGAAUUUUUUUUUUUUUUUUUUUUUUUUUUUUUGAGAUGGAGUCUCGCUCUGUCGCCAGGCUGGAGUGCAGUGGCGCGAUCUCAGCUCACUGCAACCUCUACCUCCCGGGUUCAAGCGAUUCUCCUGCCUCAGCCUCCUGAGUAGCUGGGACUACAGGUGCCCACCACCACACCCGGCUAAUUUUUUUAUUUUUAGUACAGACGGGGUUCCACCAUGUUGGCCAGGAUGGUUUCUAUCUCUUGACCUCAAGAUCCACCCUCCAUGGCCUCCCAAAAUGCUGAGAUUACAGGUGUGAGCCACGGCACCCCACCAGGAACUUAAAUUUUUAACUGCCACUUGCAGCUAGUGUGUACCAAAUCGGAGAGCCCAGCCUUAUAUAUUCAAAUCCUCUAUUGGUCACUCUUUAUAUGCAUUCCAGCUUGUCAAUAUCCAUCAAACAUCUGACUCCUACAAAGCAAUACUAAACAGUACAACUUUCAGAAUGACCAUUUAACACCUAGACAGUAUUUCUAUUCCUGCUUUCCAGAAUGUAAUUUUUUUUAAGCAUCCAUAGGGUGGGUCACAUUGAUAAUCACUGUAACUAAUACUUUGUCAGCAAUCCUAGUGCCUAAAUGUGUAUAACUGCAUUUUUUAACCUAAAUGUAAGACUUGAUACUUCAACUUUUUGGUUUAGGCCCAGCAGUUUGGGUAUUCCACGUGGUUAAUCAUUUUAAAGCUUGUUUCAAUAUAGUCUUCCAACCAGACUUUCCAAUUUGUGUCACUUACAGAUUUGGCACUACCACCAUCUGGUCUGUAUGUAAUCCUUUACAGUUUGCAAGGCACUUUUACAUCCAUUAUAUUUAAUUUGAUUCUUACAACCAACUUGUGAGAUAGGCAAGAUGUGAAGUCGAUAUUUUAUAGACAAAGCAGCUGAAGCAUAAUAGGAGCUUAACUGGUGGGAUCCAUUUAUCCAUUUUCUCUUCCAUGGAGCAUCUUGUUGUAUUCAUCCAAAUCCUUGACAGAAAUGUUGAAGAGGACCUCUAGAGGCUAAGCUUAUCCUGAAUUCUUAAAUAGCACUGACUGUUACAGUUUAAGCAAGUCAGUUUCACCUAAAAGUGUGAUUAUCCAACCCACAUGUUGCCUUUCUGUUCAAAAAGGAUGGUACCAAAGACAGUCACAGUCACCUGGCUUACUGACAUAAAUAUUAAUACUAAUCAAAUGAGUAAAAAGCCCAUGAGGAUUGGCUGCCACAAAAAAUUUUCAACCUGUAUCUACCAAGAAACUAUCAUACCAACUAAGGAAGCCAAGUCUCUCUCUCUUUCAAAACCCUCACGGGGCCAUGCUUUAUUAUAAUGGUCUGCCACAGGUCCUAACCCACACUGUAUUUGAUUAUAUACAGUCUCAUAAUUAAGUCAUUCCUCUUUAUCACACCCAGCACUUAGUCCACUGCUGCCCAUGUAGGAGGCACUCAAAUUGGUAAAAGAGAAAUCUAUGCAAGGGAAUGAUCUUCUGGACCCCCUCCAAAAACAAACUUGUGACUAGAAGAGGCACCAGCCAUAGCCACAUUCCUACUAACAGGGCUGAUUUAAAUGCCCUUUUUAUUGGCUUGGUCAUAGUCUCCAACAGGUGCCAAGGCUUUUGCUAGUUAAACCAGUUUUCAUUGGAUCAUUUUGUUUUCUAUGUGUGUUUUGACCAAAAACAAAGAUAGGUUCUCUAACAACAGGGAGAGAAUAUAUGAAAUAGGAAUAUGUCUAUAAAACGACAGUCUACCAGUAAGGAAAAUAAGUGAUCCAUAAAACAAAACAUCUGACUGUAGGUCUACCCAAAGAAAGGAAAAAGGACUAACAAACAAGAAUAUAGUGCUUUACCAUUUACAAAUCUUUCACAUACAUUCUCAUUUGACCCUCACAACAACCCUGUGAGGUAGGCAUCACGGACAUUCUACUCAUUAAACAGAUGAAGACAGUAAAUCUCAGAGUAGUUCACUGAUAAUGCCCAAGGCUCUACAGUUAGUGAGUGAUUUGUAUUAAUAUCAGUCUUUGGCCUAAAAAUUCAGCACCCCUCUUCCCCUUAUACUUGUCCCACCUACUUCACAGGGAUAAUGAAGAUAAAAUGAAUUCAAGGCUAGAAAAAUACUUUGAGGGAGAAAAGCACUAUAUAAUUAUACCUACAAACUAUGAUUUUCCCCAAUAUAUGGCUCAUUCCUCUUCUCAUCUCAGCUUGUGUGUGAACCCAGAGUUGUAUAUUGCCUCUGUCCUGUGCUCAGUAAGCAAAUAAGGCAGGCAGGGGGUACAGUGUGAUCCUGUUUAAAGUUACAUAAAUUACAAUCAGGGUAACUGCUAUUAUUAGGCAAAUUGAAAAACAGCACAGAAAGGCCAGUGUGCAACUAGGACCCACUAAAGCUCAGAGGAAAGCAAUGCAAGAUUAUCAGACAGGCAUGAUUGCAUAGAAGGAAAAUGUGGUGUCAGAGUUCAAACUGGCACACACACACACAGUUAUCUAAGGCAAAGUGGUGGCAAAGAAGUUAUUUGUUCCAUGUCACACAAACAAGAGCAGAAGAUUCAUGGGAACCCGUACAAAAGCAUCUUGUGUCACACAGAUCUCUCCAGCUGCCUAUAGGGAAUAUACAGAACAGUGUCACCUUCAAAGAAUGACUGUACCUGUGUUCAUAUCCUGAACUGCACCAAGGAAUAGCUCCAUGCUAAACUGUCUUGGCUAAAAUACAACCAGUGCCAUCAUUCCUAAUCAGACUAAUAAACAGAAUGUCUUUUAAGGUAAUGAGUUAGAUGGCUGUGUUUAGGUUUUGUUCAGGAUUUACUUUGGAUUCUCCUGCUUUAAGACCCAAAGAAAGUUAUAUUGAGUUUUUAUUGAUGAUUCUAUGUGUUUUUAACAGAGUGUGAUAGGUGAAUUAAACAUAUUAAAAGAGUUCUAUAGCAUCUGUUCAGAAAAGAUUAUAUACUAUACAAACUAUUCAAGUCAUACAAAACCAUUUUUCAUUGUCUUUCAAACUGAGAAGAAUCCUAUUCAGCACGCUUCUCCUCCUGAGGUGGUUCAUACUGAGCAAGCUAUGGGGCAAAGACAGAGGAAUUUAGGUGAAUUUUAUUCUAAAUUGAGUAAAAAAUAGUAAAACAAGGUAACUGUUAUAUUCAACUUAGUUACUGUCAGUAAAUUGUAUUAAUAUCAGUUUCUAUAACUAUCCAUUUUAAAUCAUUCAGUGAUUUAAGAUUUAAUACAAUCAAAUCUAAUGAAAGCCCUUUUUAUAUAAACCUUUAAAAUUGCUUUGAAACUAAAAUUUCAUUCCAGUUCAUGACUGCACUGUUCAAAUACUUGAUAUGCAAUAAACUAUAUCUUCCCAAAGAUUCAUUUGCUUAUAAGGAACUUUCUUCCUCUCCAGCAAAAGUUUACUGAAAAUACCCACUGAAAAGUAGAUAAAGAGUUAAGUGACAUGUCUUAACUUAACCAGCCAAUAAACAACUACUAAUGUCUUUGAGUUAAAAGGUUCCAAAGAGUUAACUAGCACUACACAUUGUGGAAUCUUGGAUAAUUUAAAAUAACUGCAUUUUCUUUUAUGCUAAGUGUGGUUCCUUGCAAGAACACUAGGCUAACAUUAGGGUUCUGCCAACUACCUGUUGGAGUUGAGAAGCUUAUUAGACUUCACUGUGCUUUCGUUUCCUCACCUAUAAAGUGGCUUGUGUACUUGUUUCACUUAUCUCACAAAGUUGUUGAGAAGAUAAAAUAUAUUAUGAGAAAUACUUAGAGUAAUGUAAAAUACAUUAUGUGAUUAAGAAUGUGGUAAGACCUGAAAGACUUAAGAGUUGACUAAUUUGAAGUUCAUGAAAAUUCUCACAGGACUUUGAAAAAAGAAAAAACUGGCUGGGUGAGGUGGCUCAUGCCUAUAAUCCCAACACUUCGGGAGGCCAGGCCAGGAGGAACGUUUGAGUCAUGAGUUUGAGACCAGCCAGGGCAACAUAAUGGGACCCCAUUUCUACAAAAAGUUUAAAAAUUAGCCGAGCAUGGUGGCAAAUGCCUGCAGUCCCAGCUACUCAGGAGGCAGAGGUGGGGGGAUUACUUGAGCCUGGGAAGUCAAGGCUGCAGUGAGACAUGACUGCACCACUGCACACAAGCCUGGGUAACAGAGAACCUGUCUCAAAAAAAGAAAGAAAAAACUUUAGCACUAGAUAAAAUUAAGUCCUAACAAAUUUACAGAGGGCCGCUACAUAUGGCCUUGCAAACUAUGAACCAUACAAAUUCUAAGAAGUGCCAUUUACAAAGCAGUCGCCCCAUAUUGGCCUACUUAAAAUCAACUGCUUAAGAACCUCAGAACUGACCAUUUACUUAUAAAGAACAUUAACCAAUAUUCUCA
rnacentral:lncRNA from 10 species